UACGUAGGGUGCGAGCGUUGUCCGGAAUUACUGGGCGUAAGGAGUUCGUAGGCGGUUUGUCGCGUCGUUCGUGAAAACUUGGGGCUUAACUCCAAGCGUGCGGGCGAUACGGGCAGACUUGAGUACUACAGGGGAGACUGGAAUUCCUGGUGUAGCGGUGAAAUGCGCAGAUAUCAGGAGGAACACCGGUGGCGAAGGCGGGUCUCUGGGUAGUAACUGACGCUGAGGAACGAAAGCGUGGGUAGCGAACAGG
rnacentral:rRNA from 1 species